rnacentral:lncRNA from 1 species
AUGAUCUUGUGCUGCACUGCUGAGGCACAGCCCCAGGAGCCUGCAAAGAACAGUUUUCAGGAUGCUGUUGUGAGCCCAGCAGUGCCCGGUGCAGCGGUGCCCUGUGUGGUGGUGCCCUGUGCGGCGAUGCCCGGUGCAGCGGUGCCCUGCAUGGCGAUGUCCUGCGUGGUGGUGCCCGGUGUAGCGGUGCCCUGCGCGGCAGUGCCCUGCGUGGUGGUGCCCUGCGCUGCAGUGCCCUGCGCGGCGAUGCCCGGUGCAGCGGUGCCCUGCAUGGCGAUGCCCUACGUGGUGGUGCCCUGUGCAGCGGUGCCCUGCGUGGCAGUGCCCUGCACGGUGGUGCCCGGUGCAGCGGUGCCCUGCACGGCGAUGCCCUGUGUGGUGGUACCCGGUGCAGCGGUGCCCUGCGCAGCAGUGCCCAGUGUGGCGGUGCCCUGCGCGGCAGUGCCCUGCACGGCGGUGCCCAGUGUGGUGGUGCCCUGCAUGGCGGUGCCCUGCGCGGCAGUGCCCUGCAUGGCGGUGCCCGGUGUGGCGGUGCCCUGUGUGGUGGUGCCCUGCAUGGCGGUGCCCUGCGCGGCAGUGCCCUGCAUGGCGGUGCCCGGUGUGGCGGUGCCCUGCAUGGUGGUGCCCUGCAUGGCGGUGCCCGGUGUGGCGGUGCCCUGCGCGGCGAUGCCCUGCGUGGUGGUGCCCUGCAUGGCGGUGCCCGGUACGGCGGUGCCCUGCGUGGUGGUGCCCUGCGCGGCAGCCCGGGCUGUGGCUGGGCCAGCCCUCUCCUCCUGCCAGCACGUGGCACAGCAGCGGCCGAGGGCAGCACGCUGCAGCCGGGGCCGUGAGGUUUGGGCACAAGGAUGCGGUGGAGGCUGUCCUCCCGGGUGCCAGGCCUGGCCCUGGGGCAGAGCCACAGCAAGCCCUGGAGAGCUGCGGGAUGCUGCAGCCAAAGCCGGGCUGGGCCCCCCCAUUUUCCCCUCACGGGAAGGAGCCGGGUGCUGUUCCCUCACAGGAGCUGGCAGCACAGCCAUGGCGGGCAGGGCCAGGGAAGGGCCUCCCUCGCCUCCCCAAGCCGUGCUCCACCACCUUGGCUAA